GAUGAACGCUGGCGGCGUGCCUAAUACAUGCAAGUCGAGCGAACGGACGAGAAGCUUGCUUCUCUGAUGUUAGCGGCGAACGGGUGAGUAACACGUGGAUAACCUACCUAUAAGACUGGGAUAACUUCGGGAAACCGUAGCUAAUACCGGAUAAUAUUUUGAACCGCAUGGUUCAAAAGUGAAAGACGGUCUUGCUGUCACUUAUAGAUGGAUCCGCGCUGCAUUAGCUAGUUGGUAAGGUAACGGCUUACCAAGGCAACGAUGCAUAGCCGACCUGAGGGGGUGAUCGGCCACACUGGAACUGAGACACGGUCCAGACUCCUACGGGAGGCAGCAGUAGGGAAUCUUCCGCAAUGGGCGAAAGCCUGACGGAGCAACGCCGCGUGAGUGAUGAAGGUCUUCGGAUCGUAAAACUCUGUUAUUAGGGAAGAACAUAUGUGUAAGUAACUGUGCACAUCUUGACGGUACCUAAUCAGAAAGCCACGGCUAACUACGUG
rnacentral:rRNA from 1 species